rnacentral:lncRNA from 1 species
GAAUUUUUCUGCCCACCCACUCUACCAGCUAAUUUUCCGAAGACUAAUUAGGUUGUUGAAUAUUUUUUUAAAAUGCUCCACUUCCGGAGACAAAGAAAGGGUAUAGCAACCUGAUACUUGCUAUACAUAAAGAUUGGUAAGAGGAAAAAACCCUGUCAGGGAGGAAAUCUUAUUUUGCAGAGUGAAGUAGAGGAAUUAGACUUGACUAUUUCUGGAAUACGAACUUAGCUAGGCGAGGAGACUCUAUUUCCUGAUUUAGGGUUUUCCAUGGCCAAUCUCCACUGUGACCUCGUGGACAAAAAAUGAUUUUUGUUUUCUUCAGAGAAGAACAAGUAGGUGGUUGAUUUAGAGGCUGUUGGACUGGCUCAAUUUUCAGAACAAGUGAUUUACUGUGGAUCUUUCAGAAUUCCUCUUUUAAUAAGUUUUAUUUUUAAAGAAAAGCAAUGAUAACUGAGAUUUCUGGUCCUCUGACCAAGUAGAUGAAAGUUAUCAAAGGGCAAGCAGCACCAGGUUUCCUUGUCCCACUUGUGCCCAGAAGAAGAAGAAGAAGAAAUUCAGAUGCUGCUGAAGUCUAGCAAGGACACAGAGCCGCAGUGGUGUUUAGUUCCUGUUGAAGGUCAGCCUGCAACAAGCUUGGCAUCCAGGAAGCAAUUCAAUUCUGUUUAGAAAUCGUAUCUGGAAAGAGCAAAAUCAAGUAUAUGCUUUCAAUGGACUUAGCUCUUUCAGGAUAUUUUCUGCCUUGGUACUAAAACUCCUAAUGCGGUACCCCGAGCCAAAGACAACAAAUACCUUCGUGCACAGCAUCUCUCCACCCUCCCUCGCUCAGGCAGCUACUGUGAGGCAGUCACAGUGUUUGUUUAUGGCUUCCACGUUCCAGUGUACUAUCCUGUCUCAGGAGAACAAGCCCAGAGUAAGAGGGGUUGAGAAGCUGGGACUCCAAAUUUCCACCCCAUAUCCAACCGAAGUAGCCCUACUCUUGUUGAUUUUACAUUUU